rnacentral:lncRNA from 1 species
AGCAAGAGGGGGAUGUGGUCCCUUCUUCGACUCAUAGUGGGUCCUGGGAUGUCCCUGCUGAUCUCAGUCAACUGGCCUCACUCCUUGCCUCUCACUUCUCUCAGUAAACCAAGCAGGAAGAAUUUGGGAGCCCGAGCCUGACAGCCUUCCUGGAGCUGCUGAGGCAGACAGUGAGGGCACUCUGGGGCUCCUUCUUGUGUGCUGAGUGAUCCUCUCUGUCCUCUAUCCCUGCCUUCCUCUGACCGUAAUGCUGCUUUAUGUCCCGUCUGCUGACCUGAGGGCAAGACCUCACCUGGAAGAUGUCAAAUCCACAGACGCCUGGUGAGAAGUGCACCGGCAUCUCAUCUGGACGAUUCUGCCUAAGGCUUCCUGGAAAUGGCUGCUGCAGGGGUGGGAGAAGCUGCUGGACGUGGCCGUGGAACAUGCCUGGUGGUGCCAGGCCUGGCUGGAACUGUGGCUCGAGCUCUCUCCUCCUCAUCUUGCAAAGCUUCUUCAUAUUGUGAUGAGAAGGCACUGGGGACUGUAUCAUUGACUUUUGCCAAAAAUUCCAAGACUUUCAUUUUGCUGGUUUCAGCAUGGGCUCGUGGGCCCCACAGGAACUCAUAACGUGGAGGAUCGCUGUUGGCAACCUGGCGGUACUCCAGGUACUUCAUCGUCACAAAGUCUUUGGUGAUGAGCUUCCUGGGCUCUCCGUAGAUGAAGUGUUUUCUCCCAGCAUAUACUCGCAUCAUAUUCAAGAAUUUCCAGAUAUCUUCCUCAGCGGCACAGUUGCCCUUCACGAAGACCACACCCAGAACUGUCAUCAAGAGACCGGUCUUAGAUAUAUUCCAGGUUUACAGACUCACCUCUGA